rnacentral:misc_RNA from 1 species
GCAAACUUGGUCAUUUAGAGGAAGUAAAAGUCGUAACAAGGUCUCCGUUGGUGAACCAGCGGAGGGAUCAUUACCGAGUUUUACAACUCCCAAACCCAAUGUGAACCUACCUAUCGUUGCUUCGGCGGGAAUCGCCCCGGCGCCCACUGGGGCCCGGAGUCAGGCGCCCGCCGGAGGCCCCCAAACUCUUGUUUCUGAUCGCUGUGGCAUAUUCUGAGUGGCGUAAAGCAAAAAUGAAUCAAAACUUUCAACAACGGAUCUCUUGGCUCUGGCAUCGAUGAAGAACGCAGC